GUCCAGAGUAGCCUAGUGGACAUGGCAUCUGCAUGGUAAGCGGAACACUGUGGAUUCGGUUUCCAAUCCCUGGGCA